AGAGAGAGACAUGCGCGCAUAUCAAUAAGCGGAGGAAAAGAAACUAACAAGGAUUCCCCUAGUAACGGCGAGUGAAGCGGGAAGAGCUCAAAUUUGAAAUCUUAAAGGGUUUCCCUUUACGAAUUGUAGUUUAAAGAAGUGUUUUCUGUUGGAGUUUCGGUAAAAGUUCUUUGGAAUAGGACAUCAUAGAGGGUGAGAAUCCCGUAUUUGGUCAUUCCUCCUAGCGUUGUGAUACACUUUCAACGAGUCGGAUUGUUUGGGAAUGCAGUCUAAAAUGGGUGGUAAAUUUCAUCUAAAGCUAAAUAUUGGCGAGAGACCGAUAGCGAACAAGUACCGUGAGGGAAAGAUGAAAAGAACUUUGAAAAGAGAGUUAAACAGUACGUGAAAUUGUCAAAAGGGAAGCGUUUGACACCAGUGUUGUUUUUCCGAAAAUCAAUUACGAAUGUUUUAUUUUUGAGGAGUUAUGACUUCAUCGGCUUGCUUCUUUCUUUACGAAACUUUCUUAAUGCACUUUUCGGUUAACAAGUCAACAUCAAUUUCUUUUGUUGUAAAAGGGUAAGAGGAAGGUGGCUUUCUUUUCGGAGAAAGUGUUUAUAGCCUUGUACCUCUGCAAUCGGAGAGAUUGAGGUCUGCAGCGUAGAUCCUUCGGGGUUAGAUACAUUUGUGCUAAGUUAUAGCUUUUCAUAGACAACUUGUUGACUAUGUUUAGUCUUGUAGCUUACUCGCUUAUGCUAUUUUACCUACGCUUAGGAUGUUGAUAGUCACAGCGUGUAC
rnacentral:rRNA from 1 species